AGUGAACGCUGGCGGUAGGCCUAACACAUGCAAGUCGAACGGCAGCACAGUAAGAGCUUGCUCUUACGGGUGGCGAGUGGCGGACGGGUGAGGAAUACAUCGGAAUCUACUAUUUCGUGGGGGAUAACGUAGGGAAACUUACGCUAAUACCGCAUACGAUCUACGGGUGAAAGCAGGGGAGCUUCGGACCUUGCGCGAUUCAAUGAGACGAUGUCGGAUUAGCUAGUUGGCGGGGUAAAGGCCCACCAAGGCGACGAUCCGUAGCUGGGCUGAGAGGAUGAUCAGCCACACUGGAACUGAGACACGGUCCAGACUCCUACGGGAGGCAGCAGUGGGGAAUCUUACACAAUGGGCGAAAGCCUGAUCGAGCAAUACCGCGUGGGUGAAGAAGGCCUUCGGAUUGUAAAGCCCUUUUGUUGGGAAAGAAAAACAGCAGGUUAAUCCCCCGCUGUUCUGACGGUACCCAAAGAGUAAGCCCCGGCUAACUUCGUG
rnacentral:rRNA from 1 species